rnacentral:lncRNA from 1 species
AGCUGCCUUUUGGCUCGGACGAAGGAAGUAGUCCAGUCGUCGAUCAUCCUGCAAUAUAGCCAAAUAUAUAUGGAGAUGUGCGUGCCAAGCAGGAUGUACCUUUCAUGCAGUUAGAGUUAUAGUGCUUUAGGUCGACUCAGCGGCCUUCUUUGGCUUGUGGUCAACUCAGCAGGGUGCCCCCACUCAGAUCGGGGCGUGUUGUCGUAGGAGGCGUCGAAUGGCGUUGAAAGGCGUCGAAUGGCGUUGAAUGGCGUCGAAUGGCGUCGAAGUGUCGUCGAAUGGCGUCGAAUGUCGUCGAAUGGCGUCGAA